UAUUAUACAUCAGUAGUGCUAACGAAAAAACGUCGUAAUAAGUAAAUCAGUAGCUGUGUUUAUGAUAAAAAUGGCGCAAUAUAAUUUUAUUUUAAAGGAAAUGGUGCCGUUUUGCUACUCUGAGUUUUAUCCCAACUCAUCCCCAAAAUCCCUUAUUUUUUUUCCUUUAAAAAUUUUUCCCAAAUCAAAAUCCCCAAAUCUUCAUCUGACCAUCUGCUGCAUCGCCGUUGUCCCCUCUACCGCAUCGCCGUCGACACUCCUCUGCUUCAUCACCGUGUGCCCAAGGGCCUCAAGUGCAGAAGUUGCUGGAGUGGCUUACUGGGCAACACACUGUCCCAAAUGUUUUUAUUGGGGGUAAACACAUCGGUGGCUGUACAGGUGUAAUUUUAUCCUUAACAAUGUUAUAGAAAAAGUUUUGCUAUUGACUCGGAGAAGGGAAAAAUACUUAGUAGUUGCUGCAGUUCGCUUUGUUCGCACCAUUCUCACUCAUCAUCAUCUCAAAAGUUUUGGGCGUGCUUUGCUCACCACAACACUAGUUACUGGAAUCAACUCUACCAUGCAAUUUACAAUUUCUAAAAGGAGAGAUUUGCUUUAGAGGUCUCAGAUAAUUAUGUGAAGAAGGCAUUAGGAAAAAAAUGGAGAGACCAUAAAAAUGCUUUAAAGAAGGAAUAUUUUAAGAAAAAUAUAAACCUCAAAGAGAAAUAGCGAAAUGUCCCGCCGGGAAUGUUAAGGUACCAAUGGAAAUAUACAGUUAGAUUUUGGAAUUCAAAGAAAGGAGAGGAUCGUGAGCGAGUUGGAACUACAAGUAGGCAAAAACAAAAAUUCACGCACAUAGUUGGAUCGAAAAGUUUUUCUUGUGUAGCUAAUGACGAUGUAUUUUGAAUUUAUUAUUUGUGUCAAAUAUUAAUUACUUUCUACUAAAUAAUAUUUUUCCUCCUAUAUUGUAGGAACUGUCAUCUGGUCAAAAAGUUGGAUGCCUUCAGCUUUUUGACAUUACACAUAGAAAGAAAGAUGAAUCUCUUAUGACUACUGAAGCUGCAGAAAUUAUGGAGAAACAAAAGGAUAAAAAGGCGGAGUAUGAAGCAAUCGCUUCGAGUGAUAGUUUUGUUAACCUUGACGACAUUGAUAACCGAAUUAUUACUGAAGUUUUGGGUCUUGGAAGCAAUACGUGCCUUCGGGGAAUCAGGCUCAAAGUAAAGUUCAGAGGUUAAGAAACCAGAUGGCUGAGAUGCAAGUGAGCACAGUUGAGCAAUUAAGCGGAGGCAGCAUCAAAAGAAGCAAAGGCUCAAAGAAAAUAUGAAGAACUCCAUCUACAACUUAAAGCGAAUGCAGUAGCGAGGGAAGCAGAUACAAGCAGAAAAUAUGACAAACUUCAGUUAGCUUCAGAAUAUGAUGAAGAUGUUUCAGCAGUCACAGAAUUUGCCGUCUUAGACGUUUGUUUUCUUAUUGUAAGAAUAUUUUAACAUUAUAACUUUUGAAUAUAAUAAAUUUUGUUAUUUCAUUAAUUAAUUUAGAUCAUAUAUGUCGAAACCAUUUUUUUAAAAA